rnacentral:rRNA from 1 species
GGAUACCUUUAUAGGUAUGGUAGGAGAGCGUUCUAUGUGUGGUGAAGGUGUACCGUGAGGAGCGCUGGAACGCAUAGAAGUGAGAAUGCCGGUAUGAGUAGCGAAAGAUGGGUGAGAAUCCCAUCCACCGUAAGACUAAGGUUUCCAGGGAAGGCUCGUCCGCCGUGGGUUAGCGGGACCUAGAGAGACCGAAGUGUAUCGAUGCACAGUGUAGUAUUACCUGACUACGACGUAACUGAACUCGAUGGACGACGUGAGUAGACUAACGGCCGGUCGGUCGUUACGGUAACGGUCCGGAGUACGGUAACGUACUAAGACGUAAGGUACGACGGCGUUGGUACUGUACGUAGAACGUGAACGUUAAGUCGUGGUAACGUUGAGUCGUGGUAGGGAGACGGGGACACGUAAGUUACGGAGGAGUAGUGAGUGAUGCACNCUAGCAAAGAAGUCUAUGUNUUGAUCAUACUCGACCCGUCGAACAACGACAAGAGGUCACGGACGUGAUCGCUAGAGGUNAGGCAGAGUAACCUGUAACGUAACGGACUACGAACAAAUCGGUAACCCCGUUAGAGGAAGGUACGG